rnacentral:rRNA from 1 species
AACGAACGCUGGCGGCAGGCCUAACACAUGCAAGUCGAGCGCCCCGCAAGGGGAGCGGCGGACGGGUGAGUAACGCGUGGGAACGUGCCCUUUGCUACGGAAUAGCCCCGGGAAACUGGGAGUAAUACCGUAUAAGCCCUACGGGGGAAAGAUUUAUCGGCAAAGGAUCGGCCCGCGUUGGAUUAGGUAGUUGGUGGGGUAAUGGCCUACCAAGCCGACGAUCCAUAGCUGGUUUGAGAGGAUGAUCAGCCACACUGGGACUGAGACACGGCCCAGACUCCUACGGGAGGCAGCAGUGGGGAAUCUUAGACAAUGGGCGCAAGCCUGAUCUAGCCAUGCCGCGUGAGCGAUGAAGGCCUUAGGGUUGUAAAGCCCUUUCGUGGGGGAAGAUAAUGACUGUACCCCAAGAAGAAGCCCCGGCUAACUCCGUGCCAGCAGCCGCGGUAAUAC